rnacentral:tRNA from 1 species
GGGCCGGUAGCUCAGAAUGGUUAGAGCGUUCGAGUAAAUCGAAAGGUCGGGAGUUCAAAUCUCCUCCGGCCCA